UUCCAGGUAAUCAUCAUGUUCCAUAUAAUUAUUAGCUUUCGCUUCUUGGAUGAAGUAAUCUUUGAAAAUCUGUUCCUAUUUAAUUAGCCACAUUCCCUAAAAGUGCCACAGGCAUCUCCUGUGCAGGUGUAGUCUUGAAGCUGUAAAUUCAUUUUCAGAAGCCAUUCCAAGAAGGAGCUGCUCGGGCUGGAAUCUGCAGCAGAAACCCUCUUUUGCAUCUGUCUUACCAUGUAAGACAAGUAGACGAUCUGCUCUGAGGCUGUGUCACAAGCUCAUUUCUGAGCAGGGAAUCAACAAAGUAACGAGACCUGGUCAGAGGCUUUCUGAUGCCACAGCUCCUCCAAAGCGGUAAGCAGUGCACGCAGACAGAAUGGCCAACAGGCAGCUCAAAAAGAAAAAGGAGCAAGAGAGGGAUCUGUUCCAGCAACUACUGGACUUAACCCAACAGAAGGCCCUAAAGCAUUUCCCGGAGAAUCCUCAGAGGACUGAAGUGGAGCUCAUUGCCCUGAGAAGAGCCCUGACACAGGCACUGCAGUGGAGGAAUGUCACGGAUUAACUUAUUUUGUAAUCAGCUCUAACGAUUGCAUCCCUGAGGGCUGCAAUCUGGAGAAGAUACACCAUUCAGGGGUAACUGGAGGGCCCUUCCACAGCAUGCACUGUGCAAUCCCACUCCUCAGAAGGUGAACAAGAACAAAUGCGUUACCUACACUGGUCAUUCUUAACCUGUGGUCUGUGGUUCGCGGACUUUUCCAGCAGAAGUCCUGAUUUGUAUUCAAUUAACUUAUACCAUCUGCUUGCUUUAUUACUUACCUAUCUAAUUACCGAAAGCACAGUUCACCAGGGGCUUGUUAUUCAAGAAACAGUGUGCUACCUAUAUUUUUACAUUUAUUUUCUGUUAUUUUUUAUUGCAAAACAAACAUAUCCUGAUACCACUCAGCUGCAAAACUUCAUUGUGGUACCACCUGGCAUAAUAUCCUUCCAUGCUGUUAACUCCAAAUAUGAACAAAUGCGAACACAUAUUCUUGGUUACACAACAUUCCUUCCCUCCAACUAUUUUCUGGUCUCUAAAUGGGAGCACAACACUUUCCUGAUCCUGUUUCUCUGACCACAUGAGGCAGCUCGCUAACAUACCUUCUUUGGCUUACAUAUGUCCAGAGCAUCUCUUGACCUCCUGUUCCCAGCAGUCCUUCAGCUUCUUUCUCUUACACUCACAAAUGUGCAAAAGCCAUCAGGCAGUUAGCAUGACAGACUCAUGAUGUCAAGAAACAUCAGCUUUUACACAGAUGUUGCUACUGACUUCAGCAAUUCCAGUGUGUAUUCAUCGCACUCUGCAAACACACAGUUCAGAAUUAGACCACUGUUUUCUCCUGUCCAGCCAACAGAUCAAAAGUUUUAGAAAGCAGAGAAGCAUAACACAAGGUGUUUUUUCUAUAAUGACACGGAACUCUAAACCAACAUAUGUCAAAAUUGUUCAGGAAAUAACCAUUCUUACUGAUUAUAUCUUUGCAUGAAGGGUGUGAAAGCAACUCAGAUCUGCAUAAAUUACCUCUUCACCAAAGAAGAAGCCUGUUACUGGGGGUAUGUGAUUCAAUUUUUUGUAGUCAUCUUAUAUUUGUUAUUAUUAGUAAUCAAAAUAUGAAUGCGUCACCUGUUAUAGACACCUGAUAAAGCCCACUUAUCAGUAAGGAUUUUUUUCUAAACUGUUUGAAACGUAGUGCAACUAAUAAACUCCUUUGCAUUGCUAUGUCUUCUUAAGUGAUAUAGCAGCAACCUUCUCACAAAAUCACAGAUGUCUAUAUAACAACAACCUCCACUGUUGAUCAGUCAUUGCAAAACUGGCUUGCUACACCCAUUAUUCUAUGAUUCCAUUAGCAGUAGCAAUUGGAGAGAAGCUCUAUGUGCAUGGCAGCUGUUGAUGCAGGCGUGAGUGGCGCUUUUAGCCUUUCUGUGCAAUGGUCACUCUCUUUGGUGACCCCAGGAUGGCAUCUGUACCCUGCUGCACCCACCACUGAACCCGAAGCGGUGCCGCGCUGAGCAGAGCUGUUGCAGAUAAAUGCUCUGCUGAAAUACUCGCUUGGUUUCUUCAUAACACCUAGAGAAGAAGCAGGGACAUGAAUCUCCAAGCCCCCAGACCCUGUACUUUGUGGUGGCCACCCUUUGGUGGAUGCAGAACGAAGAGGCAUGUCAUCACACCAGGGGCUGUCUUCCCAGAACACCAUGCCGUGCAGUCAAACAAGGUCAUGGUCAACACAGUGGUCAACAAGGAGGAUACUAUAAACCAUCAUGGCUUGGAUUUGUUUAAACACCACAUAGUUUAAUGAGGUUUGAGCAAACAAAGUAAUGCAACACAGUAUCUAUGUGUAAACUCAUAGCUGUCAUAGAAAAUAAUGCAAUGCUAGUUCUACAGUGGGGGCGUCUGCCUCACACACUUCCAGAGGGGACUAUAAGCCAGCCCAGCAGCUAUCCUGAAAACCAUCCUCCCACUAGAAAGACCUUGCACAGGCAAUAUACAUUAGGACACAGCCCUUGGAAAAUGUUCCAGGAGCCUUUUGGCUGAGAUACAGCCUCGAGACAGCCGAGCGUCUGCAGGAGCACUGGGCUCCUCACUGCAAGCAUUGUCUUUGGGCUGACAGCAUCACAGCUGUGAAAAAGCACACUGAGGAGCCUUGGCAGAACACCCCACGUUACUCAGUUGGUGCAAAAUAUUGGUGUAACAUAUGAUGUUUUGGAAUAACUAUCUGCGUUAUCACUAAAACUCUAUAAAUGUGAUGAUAUUCCUCCACUGCCUGAGGCUCACAGAACCAUCUGUUUAUCAGAUACAAAUGCAAGGGACUGGAUCACAGUCCAGAAUUUUUUCCUGUUGUCACAGUACAGGCUGCCUUAAGAAAAGCAGAAAUUGAAAAGGAAAUUCCUGAAUAAAGGCAAAAAGUUCAUACCGUAUAUGGACAGGAACAUUUGACGAAGACAUGCUGAUUAAAAGAAAAAAAAAAGCUACAGAGAUUAUUGCCAACUUGUUCUGACAAACACUUUUGGCACAUCUCAGCUGAUAGUGUCCAGCACUCCUCAAGCACUAAAAAGAACUGAUGUAGAGACAAUUAAAAUAAAUGGAAUCUGUCUUGUAACUCCAUCGGGAUUUGGGAUUUACAUGCCAGAAUGCUAUCAGCAUUUUAUCACAAGCUUAUGUACUUCCUAGUAGUUUUUCUGUCUCUUGGAUUUGAAGAUCACACUCCUUGAACAGAUCACAGGAACUCCAAAAAGAGGCAGGCAAGGAAACCUUUAUAAAUGUAUAGUAAGGGAAAUGGAUAGAUCCAGUAAACUAAACCCAUGACAAGCAUGGACAAGAAUAAAGAUAAUAUAAUUACUGUAUGGUCAGAAUCAUAAUUCUAUUUUUUUUGUAGUUGACCUCUAAACUGCAAGGGGAGACAUUCUUGCCCCCUUGAAACUGGUGGGAUUUGUGCCACUGACUUCAAGACAGCCAGGAUUUUACCCCAUGUAAUGGGAUAUGAAACCAAACCAAAAUCCCAAGUCUUCCUUAUACUCCAACUGACUGAAAAUCCAGUUUCAAACUUCAGAGCCCAUGUUCAGCUCUGUAUGCAACAGAUGCAAAGCAGAGGAUGACAUCUUGAGAAAUACAUUUGUAGGGGAGCUAGUCCCACAGACAACCUGAGGGAAAAAGAAAGCCACAAACAAAAAAAUCUGUUUUUCAUGUUGGUCUUGCUACUGCAGCUAACUGUGUUUGAGUCAGCAUGCCUCUCCAGUUCCCCCAAAAACAAUGUCUUUUUCCCCGUUUUCUUGAAUGAAAGCAUUUGAAGUACCAGAAGCUGUUGCUAAAAAUUUGCCUGCUAAUGUCUCAAACUAAUCAAGGGGAUUUUUACUAACAAAAAGGAAAAUAUGAUUUAUGGCUGUGUUUAGAAGAUAACCAGAUUCAUGAUCAUUUUUAUGGUACAUGGGAGAUCCCCAUGGAUAAUUUUCCCAUAUCCGAGUCCCCAUUUAAUAGAAGAAAGAGAUUCUUCUGUUGAUGAUUCUAUAACACGGAAGAACUUGGGGUUUAAAGAUCACAUUUAUAAUGCGAUAUGCGUGACUUCAUUUGCAAGUGUAAUAGCUAAUUGUACAUAAAGGAAGGGCUGUGUUGCUUCAUUGGCAAUAUACAAUAAAUUAUUGACACAAA